GGGGCCAUCUUGUUGGUGAGAGUUCCAGCGACGAUCAUGCAAUCAGACUGACGAGGGCUAGGCCUGAAAAUGAUCCCGAAGCGAUCGAGAUCGUAGCGGGCGGCACCGGUGUGCAUCAUUUCGACGGCGCAGCAGGCGAGGCCGAAGGUCAUGGGCCAGAUGGAGCCGGUGCGAGCCCAAUUCAUGAGAUCGUCGACCUUGGAGAUGACGUACUCCACCGCCUUGGGGACGCCGGUGGGGGAGGAAGCCGAUGGAGGCGAUGGCGGAGCAUAGGGUGAGGGUGUGGGUGAGGAGAAGGAAGGGAGGGUUGUGUGAAGGGAAACCACCCGCUGAGGUGACACCAGGUGUGGGAAGCGUGAGGCGGUUCGACUCAGAAGAGCCAUCGUGGUUCGGUUGCAACCAGGUGGGUGGGUGAGGAUUGAAUCGCAGGAAUAGAACUUCGGUGGUGCCUCUCUUUCUCUCUCUAACGUUUUAAAUUUUAUGGCCAAGCCAAGUAAUGUACGUGGUGCUUGUAUAAAUCACAUGCUUAAUGUAUGUACCUACUUCCUUAUUUAGCACUAAGUGGUUUAAUGUUUGAUUUUUAACGAAAAAUUAUUCUUACGGCCAUCGGCGUGAGGACUUCUUGGCAGGGGCAUGUAUAAACAUUUUAGGCACUAAGGCGAAAAUGUUGAGUGAUUUUUUUUACAAUAAUGAUACUUGAAAUAUUAUAUAUCAAUUUUUUAUAUCAAGAAAAAAUGCGGAAUCAAAAUCCCUAAUGCUUACGCCUUACAUCACAACCAUAGGUCCCCAUUUAAAACACAAGACUUCACCCAGCCAAGCAAACCAAAAUACUUAACAGUAAAAAUCUCAACAAGUGCCAUAGAGCUUAAACCCAUAACCUAAUAAAGACAAACACAAAUAAAAAAAAACUAGAAAGGAUAAGAAACAGAUGGCAUAACAACACCUGACAUGUAAGUAGCUCCAACACAACCACUAGAUCACCUUUGCGGUAAAUCUUUCAACCAGAAAAAGUUGAAGUCAAAAGAAAAUCGUAACCUCAAUGCUCUUGACUAAACGCACACAAAAAGAAAGAUGGCCAACCCAAACUCUACUUCAAGAUAUACCACCUUCAUGUCUUGCAAAAGAAACUAAAAACCUAUAACCUGAAAAACUCAAACUGCCAACAACAGCCACCAAUGUCAGCCUCAACCCACAUGUUUUGUUGCCGUGAAGACACACCAACCCACCAUCAAAAGCAUCAUGAUAAAAAACCUGAAACCCUACAACAACAACAACAACAACAACAACAACAAACCUCAAAGCCACAAGAUCCACGACACCCAUGAAGCAUAAACGAGCAACGACGAUGAACAGAGCCAAGAGGCUAAGCCCUUGGCGACUCAAAUGAAGACGAGUAGCAAGAUCGACAAAUGGACCACAUCAACCCGAUCAAGGAGUGACAACAGAGAGGAGGAGGAACUAGGGGUUUCCACCGACAAAGGACGACCGCAGUUGUCGGAUUGGAAGCCAGAGGACAAAACAGACGUCCUUGAACAACAAAUGCCAAGAUCGUCAGAUCUCAAAGACAUCGGUCGGAGGCAAAUGAAAAGAAGAGGGAGCUAACGAAAAGAGAGGAUUAGAGGGGGUUGCAACCACGCAGGAAGGUGGUGCGACAGCCAUCCAAGGAACCCUAGAUCAUGACGUACUAUAGUUUUUUUUUUUGGAUAAAAGAAUUGCAAAAGAAAGAAAAAAAAAAUAGGAGAAAAAAAAACUACUGCCUCAUCAAGAAGUUGAAAAUAUACUAAGUUCUUUAAAAGAAUUUUUCCUCAUCUCUACUUGUAAAUUUAUCAAUCAAGUUAGCUAUUUGUAUUUUGCUAUAUUAAGUGUCUUUGAGUGUUUUAGAUGCUCACAAUAAAACUUCCCUCAAAACUAUUGUUACUCGUUCAUAUAACCCAUUAUAUAUUCAUACCUGUUUUUAACUCACUUGAGAUUUGAAUCUUAUUUUUCACAAUGGCUUAAUCGUUGUUGUUGUUGAAGCAUCUAAUAGGACCAACAUAAAAUAGAUUGAGAGGGGUAAAGUUUAAUUUGGAGCUUGACUUGUAAGAAACUAAGAAUUCUUAAGAUAUAUGCAUUCAACAAGCUAAUUUUGAUUUUGCUAGCUAGUUUAUGAUUUUUGAAUACCAAUCAUUCAACAAAGGAGAUGAUCUGGUUAUGUAGAAACGGUCUACAUAGAUUUAUAAAUGUUCGCCUAUAUAAGGGGGAAGGGAAGAGAGGAGUACGUACUUGCGAAGAGCCGGGGCCAUCUUGUUGGUGAGAGUGCCGGCGACGAUCAUGCAGUCAGACUGGCGAGGGCUAGGCCUGAAAAUGAUGCCAAAGCGAUCAAGAUCGUAGCGGGCGGCACCGGUGUGCAUCAUUUCAACGGCGCAGCAGGCGAGGCCGAAGGUCAUGGGCCAGAUGGAGCCAGUGCGAGCCCAGUUCAUGAGACUGUCAACCUUGGAGAUCACGUACUCCACCGCCUUGGGGACGCCGGUGGGGGAGGAAGCCGAAGGGGGUGGUGGCGGAGCAUAGGGUGUAGGUGUGGGUGUAGAGAGGGAAGGGAGGGUUGUGUGAAGGGAAACCACCCGUUGAGGUGACACCAGUUGUGGGAAGCGUGAGGAGGUUCGACUCAGAAGAGCCAUGGUGAUUUCGUUGCAUCCAGGUGAGGAUUAAAUCGCAUGCAGGAACUGAACUCCUGGUUUUCCUCUUUU
rnacentral:lncRNA from 1 species